CUGGGUCCGCUGUGGUUAUCCACUGGCCUGCCCAUUCCAAUCCGAGAGUUGGGUUGUGUCCCCUGGGCAGAGACCCGGGCUUCACAGCCUCUAGAGUUGAGGGUGCAGCGUCAGGCUGGUUUGACAGAGCAACGAAAACGUCCCGCUCCCGACAGUGGAAGGAUAACGGGCCAGUGCCACUCGAGCCCACCAUGG
rnacentral:SRP_RNA from 1 species